CUCCUGGCCGAAGCGUCGACGCCGCGAGCGCAUGCAUGCAGCUGCAUGGCGCAGCACCGAGCUGCAUGGCGCCAGCCACCUCCAGCGCGGGCAGCACCCCUCCUCGUGACCUCCCUCCCCGCCUCCCUUUUGCCUCCCUCCUUGGCCGGCCUCCUCUCACACUGCCCCUCCCUCCCAUGGCUGUGUGAGUGAGACAGAAAAGAAAAGGAGAUAGAGGAGGAAGAAGCUACGGGAGGGA
rnacentral:lncRNA from 1 species